rnacentral:rRNA from 1 species
UACGAAGGGGGCUAGCGUUGCUCGGAAUCACUGGGCGUAAAGCGCACGUAGGCGGUUUCUUAAGUCAGGGGUGAAAUCCUGGAGCUCAACUCCAGAACUGCCUUUGAUACUGGGAGACUUGGAGUCCGGGAGAGGUGAGUGGAACUGCGAGUGUAGAGGUGAAAUUCGUAGAUAUUCGCAAGAACACCAGUGGCGAAGGCGGCUCACUGGCCCGGUACUGACGCUGAGGUGCGAAAGCAUAGGGAGCAAACAGG